rnacentral:tRNA from 1 species
GUCAGGAUGGCCGAGCGGUCUAAGGCGCUGCUUUCCGGUCGAAAUCCACUCUUGUGGGCGUUGGUACGAAUCCCACUUCUGACA